GGGCUAUGGCAGUGGAAGCGGUAACUAAAUGAGAAAGAUAAUUAAUACCAGUGUGGUGAAAAUAAGAAUAGAACAACUCACCGUUUGGUAUAUAAAUAAAUAAACAGAUGGUGGAAUAAGAUCACUCCUUCGUCCAUGGAGUCUUUAACCUAGUUGUCUACCAGUCAUGUAACUCAUGAGUCCUUCUUGUUGCCUAAUAUUAUCGUUGUGUUCAUGUGCAUGGCUUAUCAAAUAAUUUACCAUCCUUGUAUUUCUUUUGAUGUCACAUGACGGUAAUGACAUUGCCAUGAGCUUCAAGCAUUCUAUUACCCUAGAGGCCAAGACACGUUAUUGACAUUGCCAUGAGGUUCAAGCAUUUUAUUUCUUUAGCUAACCUCUUAACAAAUUUUAUUAUUAUUAUUACUAUGAAUGUCCAGUCGGCUUGUAUUUUAACUAAUCUCUUCAUAAAUUUGAUUAAUUAAUAAUUUGAUUUUAAUCUUUAUUUUUGAUAUAUUUCAAAACAAAUUUAAAUUUUUUUAAAAUAUGCAUCCUCGACUGUUUGAAAAAAUGAGUAGUAUAGUUUAUCAAACAAGAAUCUGUUUGAAAACUUAGAAGUGAUACAAGGAUUUUUUUUUUAAUUUUUUUCUUUUAGAGGAGAGCUAAAAGCUAUACAGGAGAUUAUCCAAUAACCCCGCAGAUAUCCUAUAACGGAAUCGAAAGACAAUUCGUUGUAGCCUUUUCUUAUAAAUUAUUAUGCCGGUUGCUAAGUAAAAAUAUAAAAGUUUAAAUUGUUAGAAGAGAUUUCAAGAUAUAAUUUAUAUUAUUUUAUAAUAUAUUAUUUUAAAUAAAAAAAAUUUUGAUUUAAAAUUUACACAGGUUUAUAUUAUCUUAUGUUUAAUUUUUAUUAAAUAAAUAGUGAGAUUUAAAUUUUUGACCACUUGGUUAUUAGUUAAGACUCUGAUACUAUAUUAAAAAACUAAUUCAACUUAAAAAUUUAAAUUAUUAGAUGAGAUUUUAAAAUAUAAUUUAUAUUAAUUUUUUAUAAGAAUGAGACGCCACCUAAUUUACUAAUGAAUUAGUUUAUUUAUAAAUGACUAAAUGGUUAGAAAAUGCCUCUAUUUUUUCCAAUUAAACAAGUUAAUUUCCAAUACUAGGUAACCACAAUUCGGUAAUACAGAUACUACAUCAUUCAUUUCCAGAAUUUUAUGGUUGGAAUUAUAGGAAAAAAAAAAAUACAUGGUGUACUCAAAUGAACUAAACAUUCAAAAGUAGUUGGGAGCCUGCAAUAAGCAUAACAAAUAUAUUAAAAGGCAAAAGAGAUUUAUUGUAGCUCCUCUUACCUUUUUUAAUUCAAUACCACAAUGUAGUGAUUAUUUUGUUAUUCUCAUUAAAAAAAAAAUGAAUACCUUUGAAUAGGGGUUUCACAUGUUCAUAAAUCAUUAAUAAUUUGUUUGGUGGUUUUUUUAAUUUUUAUCCAUUCAAUAUUUUCAUAAACAGUAAAAUAAUCAAAAUACUUAUAGGCAUAUAACUUGAUUACUAAAAGGUAUGUCAACUUAGAUUAAUCCGUAAAAUUCAUGGUCUAAAUUAUGAGACCGAGAUAACAUAACAAAAAAAAUUUAAAGAAACCCAUAAAACUAAUUUUUUUUAAUAAAAAAACAAAUAUCAAACGAUGAAAUAAAAAAAACAAAAAAAAAACAUUGACCAGCAUUAUUUUUAAAAUUCAUGACCUGAGUCAAUAAACCUGAAGCAACAUCAUGGAAAAAUCACGAAAUUCAAUCCAUAGCAAAUCAAAUGCCAAAAAAAAAAAAAAAAAUCAAUUAAAAAAAAUCUAAAAUAAAUUUAAAAAACCCAGUGAGCAUGACAUUUUUGCACCACCAAAUGCAACACUGAACACUACACCAUUGCAACUGAUGUAUGGAAUUAUCCCAUCCCCAGCUGACCCAACACCCAUGCGAACUAGAGGCUUUUUAUAUCAAUUUUAAAGGGUGUAAUUCAACUCGUCAGGUUCUAGAUUUGUUCUCUAAAAAUUAUCAGUUUGAAUCCCACAAACCUCAGGACUACUGGAGGCUUAUAUGAUCGUUAAUUUCAUGACCCGUGAGAUUAGUCAAAGUACACACAAGCUGGCUCGGACACCGACAUUAAUAAAUAAAUAAAAACCUCCCAUAUCCAUCAAUAUAGGCACCACCACCUUCUACUGGGGGUGGAUAAGAAACAUCAGGAUUCGCAUAGCCAACACAAUAUUGGUUUGGAGCUAAUACAACACAGAUCAACACAAGAAUUAGAGAGAAUAUGAAAGAAAAUUGUGAAUGAUAUAACCACCACAUUCAGAUGCAAGAAAAAGUUACCGCGUGCUUAUCUGUUAUCAGCAUUCAAGACAUCAAUGUGCAACUUUUCCAUCCCUGUGAGAUUUUGUUCCAUUGCUCUCAUUUGCACCACCUUCUCUAUAUUUAAGCCUUUUUCAUAUUCAGAUCUAGCUCUUUUCACCAAAACAGCAGAUAAAAAUAUUAUACAUAUGAGUCAGAACUUAACAAAAUGUACAUUAUACAUCGCAGUUUAAAAAAUAUCAACGCAAAAAAGUUCAAUCCUUGUGAUAUCAACGCUUGUAUUAUUAUGAUGAUAUUCAGCACCAUUUCAUCAGUGUACACUGCAUAACCAGCAUGCUCACAAAUACGACAAAAAUUGAUGUUUGAUCAACUUUUGUAUCAUCUAUUACAUACAAGACGAAUACAAGCUUGCUACAGUUAAGAUUUUUCACCCCUCCCCUCUUGUAUCUGGUUUCCUCACAAAUUGUCCCUCCAUGCAGCAUAGCAAGCUAUGUCACAGCAAUCAAGGUGUUGCUUCAAUAAAAUUACAGUAGCGUAUGGCAAGAGAAUUUGUAUAUACCAAUGCAUUUAGCAUAUGGGUGUUGCGGAUCCACGUUUUAGGCCCAGGCAAACAUAGAGCGUCGACGUGCGAUGACAAAAAACUUUAAGCUCGACACCCGCAAGAGAUGUGUGCUAGACCCACCCAGUUGACUUAGCAUAGCACCAGGCCAAGUCGUUGGGCCUAGCAACACCUAUCAGACCCAAAUUUUGGGUCCGGUAGGCACAAACCCAGUAACUCAUGAGUUUGGAACUGAUGCAUGCCAACCCAACAUAAACAAGAGUUCGUCACAUUUAUUCCCGAAUGUUUUCAUCAAUACUGUACUUUUGGAAAAUUAUUCAAAAAUUUGCUGAUAAAAUAUUGAUUCAUCAUACAAAUGUUACUCCACUAUGGUUAGUGGAAAUCAAAUGGGUCGGCACCUUGGCCAAGUGUCGAAAACCAACAAUAUCUCCGAGAACAACCACAAAGUUUUGUCUAUCAAUACUAGUUGGAAAUUAUGCAAAAUCAACUUUUCCACUGCCCUACAUCCUUCAGUUUUUGGCCACAUAUACGUGCUUUACCUUUUCUGUUCCAAUCUUAAGUAUCAUGAUCAAAUUAAGUAUAUCAAUUAAGGUUCUCCUUCAUCUAGCAAAUUAUCAAUUAAUCCAUUAAGGUCAAGAAUUGCAUUUUCUUUCCUGCUACAGAAGUCAUUUACUUGCUAAAAGUUAUAUUCUUGUUGUGACCUCGCAACAAUGGCUGCAUUUAAGUCUUUAGUUGCUGUUGCUUUGCUUCUUGUUAUGUCAAGCAUGACGUAAUUUUAAAUACAUUACAAUUACAGAUUACAAUAUAAUAUUAUAUAUGAAAUAAAUUAAGCAUCACUCUAAAAUUGAGAGAGGCUAGCUAAUGUCGCACCUCUUGAGCACGCAUGCAUCAUCUUUUUCGCACACUCACCGAAAUUGAGUCGUCCUUCCCCUCCUUGCAUGUGCAAAUUAUAAGAGCCACUGGCAUUGGACCAAACAUUGGUAUAUAAGUGUCAGGAAGUUGGUGAUGCCUGAAUUCCACUUUCGAUACUCAGAUAAUGACCGCAAAGGAAAUAAAAAUGUCAACUGCGUAGAAGCAGCGAAACGUAGUCAGCAGAAAUGCUGCAGAUAGCAACAGUACGUUUCCACUAUAUAUGGUGGGUGCAGGUGAAGUGGGGCGGCAACAUCGUAACACAUGUCCAGGAAUACAGAAAUCUCCAACAGGUUAGCUUUUCUUGGCCACAAAUUUCUGUCCAGCAAAACCCGAGAUUAGCCAAAUCAUCACCUCCACUUCCAAUUCAAUCAAAUUGUGAAAAAUAUUCAUUUAUCCGGUAGUUCACUACUCGUUUUCUGUAACGAUGUAGUACGUUCAGAAUCAUCAACUAUAAAUAGCAUGGUCUCUCCAUAGUCUCUCCCACGAAACAAUCACUCUUCCACUCUCUCACAUCUACUUGCAAGAUUCAAGAACUAUAGCCCGCUCGUGUUAUCUUUUAAGUGCCCUUAAUUAUAUUGAAGCCUCCCUUGUGAUAUAUUAACAGCCAGCCUUAACGAAAGAUGGCUCCAUACAGGUCUCUGGCUUUGAUUGCAUUGCUCGUGAUCAUGUCAGCUAUAGAAUCUGAGAGUCGGGUUGCCAGAAAAGACUUGGGUGUGGAUCUUGGUGGUGUGGGAGUUGGGCUUGGAGAAGGAGUGGGCGUGGGUUUAGGAGGUAGUGGCUCAGGGUCUGGAGCUGGGUCUGGUUCGGGUUCUGGUUCGGGAUCAAGUUCCGGGUCAAGUUCGUCCUCUUCAUCCUCAUCCAGGUCCAGUUCAAGCUCCAAUGGAGGGUCUGACGCGGGCUCUGAAGCGGGUUCCUAUGCUGGGUCUCGAGCAGGAUCAGGAUCAGGUGGUAGACAAGGUGGUGGAGAAGGUUCCGGGUCCGGUUCUGGACAUGGGGAGGGAUACGGUGAGGGUUCUGGCAGGGGAAGUGGGUCCGGCAACGGUGAAGGCUAUGGCGAGGGUCGUGGACAAGGAUCGGGCUAUGGCAGUGGAAGUGGUAACUAAAUGAGAAAGAUAAUUAAUACCAGUGUGGUGAAAAUAAGAAUAGAACAACUCACUGUUUGGUAUAUAAAUAAAUAAACAGAUGGUGGAAUAAGAGCACUCCUUCGUCCAUGGAGUCUUUAACCUAGUUGUCUACCAGUCAUGUAACUCAUGAGUCCUUCUUGUUGCCUAAUAUUAUCGUUGUGUUCAUGUGCAUGGCUUAUCAAAUAAUUUACCAUCCUUGUAUUUCUUUUGAUGUUACCUUACGGUAAU
rnacentral:lncRNA from 1 species